UUAAAGAAGGUAUUCUCAAAUAAGUGUUUGGCCUCACAAAAGCUAGAUCUGCCCUUGAGAGAGAAUUCAAUAGCAUUUUAUUGAGUGGGAGUUCCCAUUGUGGAUCAGCAGGUUAAGAACCUGAUAUAGGGUCCGUGAGGGUUCAUCUCCUGGCCCCUCUCAGUGCGUUAAAGAUCCGGCAUUGCCGAAAGCUGUGGAGUAAGUCACAGAUGCAGCUUGGAUCCAGUGUUGCUAUGGCUGUGGCGUAGGCCAGCAGCUGCAGCUCCAAUUUGGUCCCUAGCCUGGAAAUUUUCAUAUGCCACAUGUGUGGUCCUAAAAAGGGGAAAAAAAGUGUAACAUUUUAUUGAGUAAAUUAGAGGGAAUCUAUGUAUGCAUCAAUGAAUCAAAAGUAAUUAGAGGAGUUCCCUUGUGGUGCAGUGAGUUAAGGAUCUGGCAUUGUCACUACAGUGGUUUGGGUUGCCACUGUGGCGCAGGUUCAGUCGCUGGCCUGGGAAUUUCCGCAUGCUACGGGCACGCCCCCCCCCAAAAAAGGUAAUUAGAAUGAAAGGAAUUAGAAUAAAGUCCCAGUGUAAGAAAAAACAGUGCACAUGCAAAUACUCCCCUCCUAGCCUCUAGGGCUGCCUGGACAUUCAAAACUGAGCCUGACCGCUCAGCUGCAGGGUCAUCCACCCUACAGGAUGCUCUGAGCUUUGAAAUCUUUGGCACCUCAGUCCAUGAGGGGCCCAUAGACUGGAAUCUGGCUCCCCUGCUUGUCCUGCCAGCUCCCCUGUCCCACUGCUAAUUGCAUGAGGAGGCUUGGAAGACAGAGUGGCAAGGAUCUGAGGUGGCCACUGCUCCCCGGGUCCUUCAGACCCUGGGGGGACAAGAAUUGGCAGUAUCCUGGGCAAGCAAGUCUCAGUGUUCCUGUCUCUGAAAUGGGUCAGGAACCCCACCUUUGGUGGGGCUAUUGUGAAUUUUAGAGUCUCUGAAACACCCUGCAGUUAAUGUGUAGCAAAUGCCACGUAACUCUUCUCCCAGUUUUUCUUGGAACCUCUCAAUCGCCACCUGACUGGAGGGGAAGUUUGAUCUCGUGGAAUGAAAGAAUCGGCUCAGCCCAGGGGUGUUGCCCAACCUGGGUCGCCACUCUGAGAAGAUGGCCCUGCCUGAGACUGGAACUCGCUUGCCCAUGUCCCCAAGAAACACACCAGAGCUGAAGACCUGUGCUCAGCAAUCAGCCUAACGUGUUUGCCAGGAGCUGGUAUUCUGACAACAGCAAUCCCAACUGGCCAACUUUCACUGUAUCUGCAGCCUGAGCAUGGCGCCGUCACCUAGUUGGAGCAUAUCCAGAGUAGGCUGGGCAUCCUGAGGCCCUGAGGAGGCAGGUAGGUGCCCAUUGAUGGGGGCUGGCAAGACAAGACAAGCAGGACCUGGAAGAUGCUUGAAUUGGUUCAAUGAAUGAUGACAGGAAUCCAGCAAGUUGAAGGUCAAAGCAGGUACGUGGGCGUGAAUGAAGUCAGGAAGCUACUUCCCAAAACAAUGAGGCUGUUGUAGAGAAUAACAAUAAUAAUGCAAUACCUAUGAUUUAUUGAGUGUUUACCAUUUGACAGGGACUUUUAUAUGUAUUUUAGGAAUAUUAUUUUAAUUCUUACUGCAGCUCCAGGCCCUGACUUAAGUUGGUUCAACUUAAUGAUUUUUCAACUUUUCAGUGGUGCAAACGUGAUAUGCAUGCAUUCAGUAGAAAUCGUACCUGGCAUUUUAAUUUUUUGAUCUUUUCCUGGGCUAGUGAUACGCAGUACCAUCCUUUCUCCCCAUGAUGAGAAACCGCAGCCUCCUGCCACAGCUCCGAGUCAACCACAUGAUCUCAAGGGUCGCCCACCAAUACACUCACCACCAUUCUGGACCCAGACAGCCAUUCUGUUUUUCACGUUCAGCGCGGUAGUUAAUAACUUACGUGAGAUAGUCAACACUAUUACAAAAUAGGCUUUGAGUUAGAUGAUUUUGCCCAAGGGUAGGCGAAUGUACGUGUUCUGAGCACAUUUACGGAAGGCUGGGCGAAGCUAAGAUGUUCAGUGGCUUUGGCGUAUUCAAUGCAUUUUCAACUUACGGCGGGUUUAUUGGAUGUAACCACAUCGUUUAAGUAGAGGAAGAUCUGUGUUUAUAUCCCUAACAGAAAAAUGAGCCCAGAGAGGUGAGGCAACUUUCCUGAUGUCACCCAGCAAGGGUGACACCCACCCCCUCCCGAGGCAGGGGCCCUGCUGGCAGAUAGCUGAAUGGAGCUGCAGUUGGUGGCAAGCACAGAGGCCACCUUAGGGUUUCCCUGUCACAAAACUCCACAAAACUCUUCGAGGUGGACCCUCCAGGGUUUGCAAGGGCCAGGUUCUGCUAAUUAAUGUCUGUCUUAACACGGCACCCUGUGCUGGUCUGGGUGACAGACACAGAGCCUUUCACUCCAAGGCGUUUGCUAUCUAACAGGGGAGAAGAGGGGACCCUUGGAGAUUUGCAAAGAAGGUGCUAAGAGGGCCUUCCUAGGGAUCCAGGGAGGUCCUGGAAGAUAGCAGCAUUUGAGAUGGUGGAGGAGAGUGGAGGAGAUUUUGACAGACAGUACAGGUGACAAGGACAUGCCUGUCUACUCAUCUGUGGCUGGGGGAGAGUGUGAGGAAAGCCAGCAGCCUUGAGCUGCGGGGUGAAAAGCCCAAGGGGCCUUUUGACUGGAUUCCUCAGCUUCCUCUCCAGCCUGGAUCGGAGUGGGCGCCCCUUGAGUCCACAGUUGGAAUGGUGACUAGUUAAGCCGUUGGUCACAAAGCUGCUGGCGCAUCUCAUGGACUGAAAGGCGUGCUCGGUGGAGCCCCUGUGAGCCCAGGGAGAUGGGCUUUACAUAGGCUUCUCCCCCUGUCGGUCACCUGGUGGACGCUGCUCCCACGCAAGGCGUUCCCGGCAAAAUGGUCCUCACCAGAGAGGCAGAUGGCCCCUUUAUCAGGAAUAAAACUUCAAUUGCCAGGUUGGGGUGGGUUUUU
ensembl:lncRNA